rnacentral:rRNA from 1 species
AGUGAACGCUGGCGGUAGGCCUAACACAUGCAAGUCGAACGGCAGCACAGUAAGAGCUUGCUCUUACGGGUGGCGAGUGGCGGACGGGUGAGGAAUACAUCGGAAUCUACUUUUUCGUGGGGGAUAACGUAGGGAAACUUACGCUAAUACCGCAUACGACCUACGGGUGAAAGCAGGGGAUCUUCGGACCUUGCGCGAUUGAAUGAGCCGAUGUCGGAUUAGCUAGUUGGCGGGGUAAAGGCCCACCAAGGCGACGAUCCGUAGCUGGUCUGAGAGGAUGAUCAGCCACACUGGAACUGAGACACGGUCCAGACUCCUACGGGAGGCAGCAGUGGGGAAUAUUGGACAAUGGGCGCAAGCCUGAUCCAGCCAUACCGCGUGGGUGAAGAAGGCCUUCAGGUUGUAAAGCCCUUUUGUUGGGAAAGAAAAGCAGCAGGUUAAUACCCCGCUGUUCUGACGGUACCCAAAGAAUAAGCACCGGCUAACUUCGUGC